rnacentral:rRNA from 1 species
UACGGAGGGUCCAAGCGUUAAUCGGAAUUACUGGGCGUAAAGCGCGCGUAGGCGGUUAGUUUAGCGAGAUGUGAAAUACCUGGGCUUAACCUGGGAAUUGCGUUUCGAACUGGCUAACUAGAGUGCAGUAGAGGGUGGUGGAAUUUCCAGUGUAGCGGUGAAAUACGUAGAGAUUGGAAGGAACAUCAGUGGCGAAGGCGACCACCUGGACUGACACUGACGCUGAGGUGCGAAAGCGUGGGUAGCAAACAGG